rnacentral:rRNA from 1 species
UACGUAGGCAGCAAGCGUUGUUCGGAAUUACUGGGCGUAAAGAGUGUGUAGGCGGUGUUCUAAGUUUGGUGUGAAAUCUCCCGGCUCAACUGGGAGGGUGCGCCGGAUACUGAGGGGCUAGAGUGUGGGAGAGGAAAGUGGAAUUCCUGGUGUAGCGGUGAAAUGCGUAGAUAUCAGGAGGAACACCGGUGGUGUAAACGGCUUUCUGGACCAUAACUGACGCUGAGGCACGAAAGCGUGGGUAGCAAACAGG